AUUGAACGCUGGCGGCAGGCUUAACACAUGCAAGUCGAGCGGGGUGAUGGUGCUUGCACUAUCACUUAGCGGCGGACGGGUGAGUAAUGCUUAGGAAUCUGCCUAUUAGUGGGGGACAACAUCUCGAAAGGGAUGCUAAUACCGCAUACGUCCUACGGGGGAAAGCAGGGGAUCACUUGUGACCUUGCGCUAAUAGAUGAGCCUAAGUCGGAUUAGCUAGUUGGUGGGGUAAAGGCCUACCAAGGCGACGAUCUGUAGCGGGUCUGAGAGGAUCAUCCGCCACACUGGGACUGAGACACGGCCCAGAAUCCUACGGGAGGCAGCAGUGGGGAAUAUUGGACAAUGGGGGGAACCCUGAUCCAGCCAUGCCGCGUGUGUGAAGAAGGCCUUAUGGUUGUAAAGCACUUUAAGCGAGGAGGAGGCUCUUUUGGUUAAUACCCAGAAUGAGUGGACGUUACUCGCAGAAUAAGCACCGGCUAACUCUGUGCCAGCCGCCGCGGUAA
rnacentral:rRNA from 1 species